AACUACCAUCUGAAUGCCAAAAGUAGAACUCUGGUACUAUUCUCUUUGUUCAAAAAAAAUCUUGCAGUCCUUCCAUGUUUCUAAGCUUUUAAUCCAAAUUUCUCUUUGUUUUGUACUGUAUGGCGACCCUGAACAGUAGGCAGUACCUCAGUUGUGUGGAGUCCUUGCUCAACUCCAAGGCGCUACAGAUCUCUACACUGGAACCGAUAAACUGGGAUACUUGGAGCCCUACAUGCUGGCUGCCACAUCCCCCAACAGAAAUUAGCUUGCACUGAGAAUAGAUUAAUGGCUGCAAUGGGCAGCAGUAGAUUGGCUCGGUCUGAACUAAGAGUUUUGGCUGAGAUAUUAUAUGGAUGGGCAGUAUCUACGGCCAUCUAAUCCAAGCUAAGAGCAAGUGCUGGAUUCCCUCGCAAUGGUUGCGAAACACACACACACUAGCGGCGGUCAUGGGAUGAUGGUCUAAAAGCCGACAAAAGUAAUUCUUAUUCA